AGAGUUUGAUCCUGGCUCAGAACGAACGCUGGCGGCAUGCCUAACACAUGCAAGUCGAACGAACCCUUCGGGGUUAGUGGCGCACGGGUGCGUAACGCGUGGGAACCUGCCUUUUGGUUCGGAAUAACAGUGAGAAAUUGCUGCUAAUACCGGAUAAUGUCUUCGGACCAAAGAUUUAUCGCCAUUAGAUGGGCCCGCGUAGGAUUAGCUAGUUGGUGGGGUAAAGGCCUACCAAGGCGACGAUCCUUAGCUGGUCUUAGAGGAUGAUCAGCCACACUGGGACUGAGACACGGCCCAGACUCCUACGGGAGGCAGCAGUGGGGAAUAUUGGACAAUGGGCGAAAGCCUGAUCCAGCAAUGCCGCGUGAGUGAUGAAGGCCUUAGGGUUGUAAAGCUCUUUUACCCGGGAUGAUAAUGACAGUACCGGGAGAAUAAGCCCCGGCUAACUCCGUGCCAGCAGCCGCGGUAAUACGGAGGGGGCUAGCGUUGUUCGGAAAUACUGGGCGUAAAGCGUGCGUAGGCGGCUUGGCAAGUCAGGGGUGAAAUCCCAGAGCUCAACUCUGGAACUGCCCUUGAAACUGCCGAGCUAGAAUCUUGGAGAGGUCAGUGGAAUUCC
rnacentral:rRNA from 1 species